rnacentral:rRNA from 1 species
AUCGAACGUUUGCGGCGGGCCUAACACAUGCAAGUCGAACGCACUAGCAAUAGUGAGUGGCGCACGGGUGCGUAACACGUGGGUAAUCAACCCUUCAGCCUGGGAUAACGACUCGAAAGGGUCGCUAAUACCGGAUACGGCGCGAGAGGCUUCGGCUUCUCACGAGAAAGCCACGCAAGGGGCACUGAAGGACGAGCCUGCGGCCCAUCAGCUAGUUGGUGAGGUAAGAGCUCACCAAGGCUAAGACGGGUAGCUGGUCUGAGAGGAUGAUCAGCCACACUGGAACUGAGACACGGUCCAGACUCCUACGGGAGGCAGCAGUGGGGAAUAUUGCGCAAUGGGCGAAAGCCUGACGCAGCCACGCCGCGUGAGCGAUGAAGGCCUUCGGGUCGUAAAGCUCUGUGGGGAGAGACGAAGAAAGCCUGUGAAGAGCAGGCCUUGACGGUAUCUCCUUAGCAAGCACCGGCUAACUCCGUG